CAGGGCACUUCACCCGGGAUCCCCGCCUCCCACGGGGCGGGCCGGGCGGCGGAACCAAUGAGCGCGCGGCGGCGUUUCCGGCGGGACGCUUAGGAGGAGACUCGAGUCCGCGGCCGACUGACACCCUGCGCGGGCCUGCGUCCCGCCAUGAAGUUUCGGGCCAAGAUCGUGGACACGGCCUGUCUGAACCACUUCACACGCGUCAGCAACAUGAUCGCCAAGCUCGCCAAAACCUGUACCCUCCGCAUCAGCCCAGAUAAGCUGAACUUCAUCCUCUCCGACAAAGUGGCCAAUGGAGGCGUGAGCAUGUGGUGUGAGCUGGAACAGGAGAACUUCUUCAGUGAAUUUCAGAUGGAAGGUGUCUCUGCUGAAAACAACGAGAUUUAUUUAGAGCUGACGUCGGAAAAUUUAUCUCGAGCUUUGAGAACUGCCCAGAAUGCCAGAGCCUUGAAGAUCAAGCUGACUAAUAAACACUUCCCCUGCCUCACGGUCUCCAUAGAGCUGUUAUCAGUGUCGAAUAGUAGCCGCGUUGUGACACAUGACAUCCCCGUUAGGGUCAUUCCUAGAAAAUUGUGGAAGGAUUUGCAAGAGCCUACAGUCCCAGACGCCGACGUUAGCAUCUAUUUGCCAGUUUUGAAGACCAUGAAGAGCAUCGUGGAAAAAAUGAAAAACAUCAGCAAUCACCUUAUCAUUGAAGCAAACCUAAAUGGAGAAUUGAACUUGAAAAUAGAAACGGAGCUAGUGUGCGUUACAACCCACUUUAAGGAUCUCGGGAACCCUCCGUCAGCCUCUGAAGACGCGUCUCAGGAUAGAAACCCGGAGCAGAUGGCCGAGGUGCGCAUCGAUAUCCGGAGGCUCCUGCAGUUCCUUGCCGGACAGCAAGUGAACCCGACAAAGGCCGUGUGCAGGCAGUUUUCCUGGAUUCAGCAGCACCUGGAGAUUCUGAUCUGGGGCCCUGCAGCCAUGCUGGCUUGGCUGCCUCGCCCGGCCACCACGAGUGGGUCUGCGCCUAAGGAGAAGCUUCCAGAGGACAGCUGUUGAUCGUCCAGGCUGCUCUGUUAAUCUGGCCCGACAGCCAUAGCCCCUGACCCCACUGGACUUAGACUUAAGACAUCGUGAGCAACAAGAUCGUCCAUUUUGAUUUGCUCCACGAGGACGUCUCCCUGCAGUACUUCAUCCCGGC